CAUCCUACGGGGCGCAGCAGUCGGGAAUAUUGCGCAAUGGAGGAAACUCUGACGCAGUGACGCCGCGUGCAGGACGAAGGUUUUCGGAUUGUAAACUGCUUUUGACAGGGAAGAGCAGAAGACGGUACCUGUCGAAUAAGCCACGGCUAACUACGUGCCAGCAGCCGCGGUAAUACGUAGGGGGCAAGCGUUGUCCGGAUUUACUGGGUGUAAAGGGCGUGUAGCCGGGCUGACAAGUCAGAUGUGAAAUCCGGGGGCUCAACCCCCG
rnacentral:rRNA from 1 species